ACCAAGAGAACACCAAGUCUUUAUUACCGGAAUUCCUAUGAAACAGCUCCAAGGGAAAAAAAAACCACACACAUGAGGGAAAAAAUAACAAAGUGACAACACAGACUUAGAGCUUUCCCUUCGCGCGCUGGCCCUGACGCACGGAAGGCCCAGACGCGUCUGGAGCACAGACUAGCCGCCCCAGGCUCAUGGGGGGUUGGGGGGGUGGGGAGCUGUCCUUCUCUCUAGGGGGUCACAGGACUGGCUGGGUGCCAGCAUGGUCCCUCACCCCCACCCUGCACGGUGCGCGUUUCCAAACUUGGUCACCGCUCUCUUGAGCCCGGGGAUGCACGACCAGCAGGAGUUGAGGCGAUUGCGGUCCCAUUUCCACCACGCUCCCAUUUCCUUUCAGUCCCUAGCAUCCCCCAUCACCCAAGCAUCGGAUCCCACUCUCAACCAGCCCCCCCCCGCCCCCGCGCUUGCCCAGGCUUCUCAUCUCUCUCUAAAGGUCAGCAAGUUCCCAGAUCAAGGACCGAGUGGGCCACAAUCGCGGCCUCCAUCCCCUUAGCAGAGGUUGGUGCCGGCUGAGCGGUCCUAGAAUCGCCUCAGUUCUUCAAAUCACCUCUGGGGCUCCACCUGGGGCACCCGGCAAGUUCCUGCCCUAGGGUGCUCCCCUCCCGCAGCGCCCUGCCCCAGGCUGGUAGCCUCUGCAACUUGCACUUCAGCCCGGCACCUUCUCAGUUGGGGUCACCCUCACCCCGAAACUCCAGCACCUUCCUGCCUUACAAAACAGCAGGACCAGUCCAGCCCCUGAAGGGCCCUACUGUGAUGUAAAUCAAGAACCAGCUUCGGCCUUCAGCCAAACUAAAGACCAGGCUUAAAGAGAAUCCUCCAGCUCCGGGGUCACCCUCCCCAUCCCUGCUGGGUCAUGAUGAGGCUGCUGGAGGUAACAGCCAGCCCUUAAUAGAAGCAGCCCUGUGAGGUGGACCCGGCAAGACCACAGUGUCCAGAGUUCCGUGCAGGUCGGGGCCAAGAGUCAGCAGUUCCGGCCAAGGCUGAGAUGUGGGAGGUCUUUGCAAAGAAAGGCCACAGGGGCGGGGGAUGGAAUAGAUCAAGCCCGCUGUGGCAGGAGAGAUGGGAAAGAGAAGGCGGAAAGCCCUUGUUCAGGGCCAAAGAGCCCCCCCAUGGGUCAUUUUGCCAGUUCUCUAACUGCAACCUUGGUGCUUCCUGGGAUCUUUCUUUACGUCGUCGUCGUCUGUCCCUCCCUCCCUCCCUCCCUCUCUCUCCCUCUCUCUCUCUCCCUCCCCCCCUCUCUCUCUCUCAAUCUCUCUCUCUCCUAUCUCUCCUCUCUCUCCCUCUCUCUCUCUCUCCCUCUCUCUCUCUCUCUCUCUCUCUCUCUCUCUCUCAAUCUCUCUCUCUCUAUCUCUCGCUCAAUCUCUCUCUCUCUCUCUCUCUCUCUCUCUCUCUCUCUCUCUCUCUCAAUCUCUCUCUCUCUCAAUCUCUCGGUGGUUCCUGUCCAAGUCCCUCCUCCAAUCACAGGCAACUCUGAAAGUUCCAUAAGUCCUGUGGAAAGUGGCAGUGGCUGGGCUGGACUGUGGCCGAAGAAGCCUGGGCUGUGGUAUGCAAGCACCUUCUCUCUCAGCUGCAGCUGGAGAGCCCUGGUGUUUCUCUCUGGUUGCCUCCACCGGUCAGAGCAUCUCUGGCAAGGCGACGCUGCUGCUGGCACCUGGGAGUAGGGGAAAUGUGUGACAUUUUCAUCACAAGAGCCUCCUGGUCUUUCCCUGUCACUGGUUCCUGGAGAAUACGAGGCUCCUCCUCCUCACUCCAGUGGUUCUAGAUCAUCCUGGAACUCUGCUUCGGACCACACCCACUGCUCAACCACAGGAUCCUAGCAUGGACUAGGAGAACGAGGUGGGAAGGAAGCUCUGUGUGGAAGGCCUUACAGGUGGGAGGCUGCUCCACCCAUUCUGUGUCCCGUUAGUAGCUGAGUGGAGGGGCUACACUAAGAGGACCAGAUGGGCCAGAAAAGUAAUCCCAGGCUAGACUUUGGUGAGCCCCAGACACCAGGCUGAGUUCAUAAGACUUUUGCUCAAGAGACCCACAAGAACAGCAAGGGACCACCGUGAUAUUUGGUGAUGGUACUGAUAGGCGG
ensembl:lncRNA